UAUUCUGCCCCACGGGGAAGGAUGAGAAGCUUCGACCAAGGUUCGACUCGAGCGAAGCGAGAGAACGUUGCCGCAGGCAACGGCCCGAAGGGCGAGGCGCUUUAGCGCCGAGUAAUCCUUCCCCACCACCA
rnacentral:sRNA from 1 species